UACGUAGGGUGCGAGCGUUGUCCGGAAUUAUUGGGCGUAAAGAGCUUGUAGGCGGUUUGUCGCGUCUGCUGUGAAAUUUCGGGGCUCAACCCCGAACUUGCAGUGGGUACGGGCAGACUAGAGUGUGGUAGGGGAGACUGGAAUUCCUGGUGUAGCGGUGAAAUGCGCAGAUAUCAGGAGGAACACCGGUGGCGAAGGCGGGUCUCUGGGCAGUAACUGACGCUGAGGAGCGAAAGCGUGGGGAGCGAACAGG
rnacentral:rRNA from 1 species